GUGAGAAACCCGUCCACCGGAUGACCAAGGGUUCCAGGGCUAGGCUAAUCCGCCCUGGGUAAGUCGGGACCUAAGGCGAGGCCGACAGGCGUAGUCGAUGGGUAACCAGUUGAUAUUCUGGUACCGGCUUGUCACCGUCCGUGUCGAGGUGUGUGAUGCUAAGCAUGUGAGCUUGUCUUGGGAGUGUUUUUGAUGCUUCUGGGGUGGGUGAGUGUGUGAACCGAUCAUGUAGUAGGCAAGCUGCGGAGGGACGCAGUGAGGUAGCUCAUCCCCGGUGAUGGUUGUCCGGGGCUAAGUGUGUGGACUGUCUGGUAGGUAAAUCCGCUGGGCGUGAAGGUUGAGGCAUGAUGGGGAGCCCACGGUUGUGGGUGAGUGAGUGAUCCUGUACUGUCGAGAAAAGCUUCGUGAGCGAGGUGGCGGGUCCGCCCGUACCCUAAACCGACACUGGUGGAUUGGUAGAGUAUACCGAGGCGAUCGAGAGAAUCAUGGUGAAGGAACUCGGC
rnacentral:rRNA from 1 species